rnacentral:rRNA from 1 species
AAGCUCGUAGUUGGAUUUCUGGCGGGAGUGACCGGUCCGUCCUUUUUGGAUGUGUACUAGCUGUCGUCUCUUGCCAUCCUUGGGGAGAGCUGGCCUGGCAUUAGGUUGUCGGGUUAGGGAUCCCCAUCCUUUACUGUGAAAAAAUUAGAGUGUUUAAAGCAGGCUUAUGCCGUUGAAUACAUUAGCAUGGAAUAAUAAGAUAGGACCUUGGUGGUUUAUUUUGUUGGUUUGCACGCCAAGGUAAUGAUUAAUAGGGAUGGUUGGGGGUAUCCGUAUUUCGUAGUCAGAGGUGAAAUUCUUGGAUUUACGAAAGACGAACUACUGCGAAAGCAUUUACCAAGGAUGUUUUCAUUAAUCAAGAACGAAGGUUAGGGGAUCGAAGAUGAUUAGAUACCAUCGUAGUCUUAACCAUAAACUAUGCCGACUAGGGAUUGGCGGUCGUUACUGUUAUGACUCCGUCAGCACCUUAUGAGAAAUCAAAGUCUUUGG